rnacentral:snRNA from 1 species
GGGUGUGAGGGCGAUCUGGCUGUGACAUCUGUCACCCCACUGAUCACCAGGGUUGAUUCAGCUGAUCUGGCUGGCUAGGCGGGUGUCCUCUUCUUUCCUCACCACUCCAUGUGCGUCCCUCCUGAAGUGUGAGCUUGGUCAAAGAGGAUAACCUUCCCAAAUACAGGAGGACUGCACUCCCCUGCUAGAACCUCCAAACAAGCUCUCAAAGAGCUCUUGUGCCUAAAAAAUAGUAUCCUUGGCCUCAGGAGAAAUCUGUGGCUUUGGGA